UACGUAGGGGGCAAGCGUUAUCCGGAUUUACUGGGUGUAAAGGGAGCGCAGACGGAUGGAUAAGUCUGAAGUGAAAGCCCGCGGCUCAACUGCGGGACUGCUUUGAAAACUGUGCAUCUUGAGUACGGGAGGGGCAGGCGGAAUUCCUGGUGUAGCGGUGAAAUGCGUAGAUAUCAGGAGGAACACCGGCGGCGAAGGCGGCCUGCUGGACCGAAACUGACGUUGAGGCUCGAAAGCGUGGGGAGCAAACAGG
rnacentral:rRNA from 1 species